GCCAUUAUAGCUCUUUGGCAGAGCACUGGUCUUGUAAACCAGGGGUCGUGAGUUUAAACAUCGCUGGUGGCU